rnacentral:rRNA from 1 species
UGGGGAAUAUUGCACAAUGGGCGCAAGCCUGAUGCAGCCAUGCCGCGUGUGUGAAGAAGGCCUUCGGGUUGUAAAGCACUUUCAGCGGGGAGGAAGGCGUUAAGGUUAAUAACCUUGGCGAUUGACGUUACCCGCAGAAGAAGCACCGGCUAACUCCGUGCCAGCAGCCGCGGUAAUACGGAGGGUGCAAGCGUUAAUCGGACUUACUGGGCGUAAAGCGCACGCAGGCGGUCUGUCAAGUCGGAUGUGAAAUCCCCGGGCUCAACCUGGGAACUGCAUUCGAAACUGGCAGGCUAGAGUCUUGUAGAGGGGGGUAGAAUUCCAGGUGUAGCGGUGAAAUGCGUAGAGAUCUGGAGGAAUACCGGUGGCGAAGGCGGCCCCCUGGACAAAGACUGACGCUCAGGUGCGAAAGCGUGGGGAGCAAACAGG